rnacentral:rRNA from 1 species
CUGGGAUUAGAUACCCCACUAUGCUUAGCCCUAAAUAUAGAUAAAGCCUCACCUUUGACUUUAUCCGCCAGGGUACUACGAGCGCUAGCUUAAAACCCAAAGGACUUGGCGGUGCUUCAAACCCAACUAGAGGAGCCUGUCCUAUAACCGAUGAUCCCCGUUUAACCUCACCCCCCCUUGUUCCCAUCCGCCUAUAUACCGCCGUCGUAAGCUUACCCCUUGAGGGCCCUAAAUUAAGCUCAAUUGGCACCGCCCAUAACGUCAGGUCGAGGUGUAGCUUAUGGAGGGGGAAGAGAUGGGCUACAUUCCCUAAUUCAGGGUAUACGGAUAAUGAACUGAAACAUUCAUUUGAAGGUGGAUUUAGCAGUAAGCGGAGAAUAGAGUGCUCCACUGAAACCGGCUCUGAAGCGUGUACACACCGCCCGUC